ACGAACGCUGGCGGCGUGCCUAACACAUGCAAGUCGAGCGGGAAAGUUCCCUUCGGGGAGCGAGUACAGCGGCGCACGGGUGAGUAACACGUAGGUAACCUACCCUGGAGACUGGGAUAACCUGCCGAAAGGCGGGCUAAUACCAGAUAAGACCACAGGGGCUCCGGCCCCAGAGGCAAAAGGUGGCCUCUGCUUGCAAGCUACCACUCCGCGAUGGGCCUGCGCGCCAUUAGCUAGUUGGUGAGGUAACGGCUCACCAAGGCAGAGAUGGCUAGCUGGUCUGAGAGGAUGGCCAGCCACACUGGGACUGAGACACGGCCCAGACUCCUACGGGAGGCAGCAGUGGGGAAUAUUGCGC
rnacentral:rRNA from 1 species